GUUCAAGGCAUUAGACAAGGAAAGGCAGUAUUAACGUCUAGAUCUGUGCACAGACAAGCAGGAACAGAGACAGUGAGGGGAAUCCUCCCAAAAUCCUCUCUGGGAAAGAGCCCUUGACUGAAACCACACUGACAUCCUGGAGCAGACUCUUUCAAUGGGCUUCACUAUCAUCAGUCAAACAAGUAAUUCGUUUAUCCACAAGGUGGCAACCGUGCCCUGGGGUCAUCAAUUCACAAGGU